AUUGAACGCUGGCGGAAUGCUUUACACAUGCAAGUCGAGCGGCAGCGCGGGGCAACCUGGCGGCGAGCGGCGAACGGGUGAGUAAUACAUCGGAACGUGCCCAGACGUGGGGGAUAACUACUCGAAAGAGUAGCUAAUACCGCAUACGAUCUACGGAUGAAAGCGGGGGAUCGCAAGACCUCGCGCGUCUGGAGCGGCUGAUGGCAGAUUAGGUAGUUGGUGGGAUAAAAGCCUACCAAGCCAACGAUCUGUAGCUGGUCUGAGAGGAUGAUCAGCCACACUGGGACUGAGACACGGCCCAGACUCCUACGGGAGGCAGCAGUGGGGAAUUUUGGACAAUGGGCGAAAGCCUGAUCCAGCCAUGCCGCGUGAGUGAAGAAGGCC
rnacentral:rRNA from 1 species